UGCGAAACUCGAAUGAACGAACGGAGAGAUUCAUCGUCUAUUCCGGGCGUGCGGGCGCGUCGCACGAUGUCCAGCGCUUCCUCGCGGAGUUGUCCGGGCACGUCGCGCGUCCGUCUCGCGUCCCGGGACGGCGUGCACUUCUCUCUCAGUAAUACAUCGCGACCCGUUCGAUGUCGGUCUAAGCGCCGCCCGGGAGUCUCUCGGUUCGCCCGCAAGGGCGCGAUCGGUGUGACCGGUGCGGUCGUCCGACCGGCCGUCGGACGGUAGUUUGAACGAAUCGCGUACGCGUGUUUUAUAAUGCGCGUCCGGCCCGACGCAAGGCAUAAAGCGUCGUCGUUCUCGUAUCUGCCCGAGUGCGAACGAGGGGGCGGCGCGCCUGUCGUCGCAGCCGUGCAUGUCUCGGACAGUACGCGUGUCAGUCUGCGAUGAUUCAGUUUCGG
rnacentral:rRNA from 1 species